GGGCCCUUAGCUCAGUUGGUUAGAGCAGCGGACUCAUAAUCCGCUGGUCGCAGGUUCGAGCCCUGCAGGGCCCA
rnacentral:tRNA from 1 species